CCUACGGGAGGCAGCAGUGGGGAAUAUUGCGCAAUGGGCGAAAGCCUGACGCAGCGACGCCGCGUGAGGGAUGAAGGUCUUCGGAUCGUAAACCUCUGUCAGCAGGGAAGAACGGUCACUGUGCUAAUCAGCAGUGAAUUGACGGUACCUGCAAAGGAAGCACCGGCUAACUCCGUGCCAGCAGCCGCGGUAAUACGGAGGGUGCGAGCGUUAAUCGGAAUUACUGGGCGUAAAGCGAUCGUAGGCGGUAUGUCAAGUCAAGUGUGAAAUCCCCGCGCUCAACGGGGGAACUGCCUUUGAAACUGGGAAACUGGAGUGUGUGAGAGGAUAGUGGAAGUCCAGGUGUAGGAGUGAAAGCCGUAGAUAUCUGGAGGAACAUCAGUGGCGAAGGCGACUAUCUGGCACAUAACUGACGCUGAGGAGCGAAAGCGUGGGUAGCAAACAGGAUUAGAUACCCCGGUAGUC
rnacentral:rRNA from 1 species